CAGAGGUUUUGAGAGAAGUGCCCUGAAAGCUUUAAAAGUCAUUGUGUGCACCUGCAUAUUCCUAUGACUUCUCAGAGUCCUCUGGACAAUUACUGGGGAGAUAAACCAUGCAGGAAACACUA
rnacentral:snoRNA from 1 species